rnacentral:rRNA from 1 species
AACGAACGCUGGCGGCAGGCCUAACACAUGCAAGUCGAGCGAGGACUUCGGUUCUAGCGGCGGACGGGUGAGUAACGCGUGGGAAUGUGCCCUUCUCUACGGAAUAGCCCUGGGAAACUGGGAGUAAUACCGUAUACGCCCUAUUGGGGAAAGAUUUAUCGGAGAAGGAUCAGCCCGCGUUGGAUUAGGUAGUUGGUGGGGUAAUGGCCUACCAAGCCGACGAUCCAUAGCUGGUUUGAGAGGAUGAUCAGCCACACUGGGACUGAGACCCGGCCCAGACUCCUGCGGGAGGAGGAGGGGGGGAUUUUUAGAAAAGGGGGGCACCCUGUACCGCCCCCGCCGGUGGGAGUAAAAAAGCCUUGGGGGUGGAAAACCCUUUUCAGCGGGGAAGAAAGGGCGGGUACAAAAAAAAGAGGCCCCGCCAACCCCGGUC